CUGGCGGCGUGCCUAAUACAUGCAAGUCGAACGGCUUUUCUAUGGAAGCUUGCUUCCACUGAAAAGAUAGUGGCGAACGGGUGAGUAACACGUGGGUAACCUGCCCAUAAGAGGGGGGAUAACAUCCGGAAACGGGUGCUAAUACCGCAUAGUUUUCUUGAUCGCAUGAUCGGGAAAGGAAAGACGGCCUUUGUGCUGUCGCUUAUGGAUGGACCCGCGGCGUAUUAGUUAGUUGGUGAGGUAACGGCUCACCAAGACGAUGAUACGUAGCCGACCUGAGAGGGUGAUCGGCCACAUUGGGACUGAGACACGGCCCAAACUCCUACGGGAGGCAGCAGUAGGGAAUCUUCCGCAAUGGACGAAAGUCUGACGGAGCAACGCCGCGUGAGUGAAGAAAAGGUUUUCGGAUCGUAAAACUCUGUUGUCAGAGAAGAACAAGUUGGAGAGUAACUGCUCCAGCCUUGACGGUAUCUGACCAGAAAGCCACGGCUAACUACGUGCCAGCCGCUGC
rnacentral:rRNA from 1 species